rnacentral:rRNA from 1 species
AACUCUAAGCGGUGGAUCACUUGGCUCAUGGGUCGAUGAAGAACGCAGCAAACUGUGCGUCAUCGUGUGAACUGCAGGACACAUGAACAUCGACAUUUUGAACGGAUAUCGCAGUCCAUGCUG